rnacentral:rRNA from 1 species
AUUGAACGCUGGCGGCAUGCUUUACACAUGCAAGUCGAACGGCAGCGCGGGCUUCGGCCUGGCGGCGCGUGUCGCACGCGUGAGUAAUACAUCUGAACGUGCCCCGUAGUGGGGGAUAGCUCGGCGAAAGCCGGAUUAAUACCGCACACGACCUGAGGGUGAAAGCGGGGGAUCUUCGGACCUCUCGCUCUUGGAGCGGCCGAUGGCAGAUUAGCUAGUUGGUGGGGUAAAGGCCUACCAAGGCGACGAUCUGUAGCUGGUCUGAGAGGACGACCAGCCACACUGGGACUGAGACACGGCCCAGACUCCUACGGGAGGCAGCAGUGGGGAAUUUUGGACAAUGGGCGAAAGCCUGAUCCAGCAAUGCCGCGUGUGUGAUGAAGGCCUUCGGGUUGUAAAGCACUUUUGGCGGGAACGAAAAGGACUGUGCCAAUACCACGGUUCGAUGACGGUACCCGCAGAAUAAGCACCGGCUAACUACGUG